UGGCUCAAUCGGUAGAGCAUCAGACUUCUAAUCUGAAGGUUGCGGGUUCGAUCCCCG
rnacentral:tRNA from 1 species